UGGCUAUGUAGCUCAGUUGGUUAGAGCACAGCACUCAUAACGCUGCGGUCGGUGGUUCAAGUCCACCCAUAGCCAU
rnacentral:tRNA from 1 species